UACGUAGGGGGCUAGCGUUGUCCGGAAUCAUUGGGCGUAAAGCGCGCGUAGGCGGCCCGGUAAGUCCGCUGUAGAAGUCAAAAGGCUCAACCUUUGAAUGUCAGUGGAUACUGCCGGGCUAGAGUCCGGAAGAGGCGAGUGGAACUCCUGGUGUAGCGGUGGAAUGCGCAGAUAUCAGGAAGAACACCGACGGCGAAGGCAGCUCGCUGGGGACGGUACUGACGCUGAGGCGCGAAAGCGUGGGGAGCAAACGGGG
rnacentral:rRNA from 1 species